GACGUACUCUGCUUCUUCUGGUCGGAGACAUUUCAAUAGGGGUCCUGAGAAAGACCUUUUGUAUAAUUUCCCGUUGAAUAUGCAAAAUCUUGCGGAUCUGUACUGGAGACGGCGAGCUUGGAGUUUUUCUUUUGGUAAGAUACCAUCCUGGAGAUAGGCAAUAAUUUCGUCCAUCCACGUCGGACUUUCUUCCGCUUGGAGGACCUGAUUGGUGAUUCCAAUGCUUGGGCUAGCUAAAAAUUCCAGAGGCA
rnacentral:lncRNA from 1 species